rnacentral:rRNA from 1 species
CCUACGGGUGGCAGCAGUGGGGGAUAUUGCACAAUGGGGGAAACCCUGAUGCAGCGACGCCGCGUGGGUGAAGAAGUAUUUCGGUAUGUAAAGCCCUAUCAGCAGGGAAGAAAGAAGACGGUACCUGACUAAGAAGCCCCGGCUAACUACGUGCCAGCAGCAGCGGUAAUACGUAGGGGGCGAGCGUUAUCCGGAUUCACUGGGGGUAAAGGGAGCGUAGACGGCCGUGCAAGCCAGGAGUGAAAGCCCGGGGCCCAACCCCGGGACUGCUCUUGGAACUGGGCGGCUGGAGUGCGGGAGGGGCAGGCGGAAUUCCUGGUGUAGCGGUGAAAUGCGUAGAUAUCAGGAGGAACACCGGCGGCGAAGGCGGCCUGCUGGACCGCGACUGACGUUGAGGCUCGAAAGCGUGGGGAGCGAACAGGAUUAGAUACCCCAGUAGUC